CCGAACUCACCGCCGUUGAAAAGUUGGGAGAUGAGAUAGGUCUAGGGGUGAAAAGCCAAUCGAACUAGGAGAUAGCUCGUUCUCUCCGAAAUGCAUUUAGGUGCAGCCUUGGUUGAAGAUAUGCGGGGGUAGAGCACUGUAUGGCCUAGGGGGCGUAUAGCUUACCGAAGUCAAGCAAACUGCGAAUACCGUAUAUUGUUUACCAGGAGUGAGUCUACGGAUGACAAGGUCCGUGGACGAGAGGGGAACAGCCCGGACCGCCGGCUAAGGUCCCAAAUCAUGUCUAAGUGGGAAAGGAGGUGGAUAUUCACAGACAACCAGGAGGUUGGCUUAGAAGCAGCCAUACCUUAAAAGAGUGCGUAAUAGCUCACUGGUCGAGAGUAUCUGCGCCGAAGAUGUAACGGGGCUAAGACAUAAACCGAAGCUGUGGAAGAUGCUUUUGCAUCUUGGUAGGAGAGCGUUCUGUAAGCCGAUGAAGGCAGGCUGUAAGGCCUGCUGGAGGUAUCAGAAGUGAGAAUGCAGGAAUGAGUAGCGAGAAGGCGGGUGAGAAUCCCGCCGGCCGGAAGUCCAAGGUUUCCAGGGGAAGGUUUGUCCGCCCUGGGGAAGUCGGGACCUAAGCCGAGGCUAAGUAGCGCAGGCGAAUGGAAAAUAGGUUAAUAUUCCUAUACCACUUAAUUAACGUUAUUACUGAUGGAGUGACGCAGGAAGGUAUGUGAGAAGGCUGACGGUUUAGCCUUUCUAAGGAAGUAGCGUGAGCAUAUAGGUAAAUCCGUAUGCUUAAACGUGAGAACUGAUGGGUAAGCACCUCUUGGUGUAAGUCACAAAUCCUACACUGCCAAGAAAAACUUCUAAGGAGGAAAUUAAGUGCCCGUACUGUAAACCGACACAGGUGGACAGAGUGAGAAACUUAAGGCCGACAGGAUAACUCUAGCUAAGGAACUCUGCAAAAUAGCCCCGUAACUUCGGGAGAAGGGGUGCCUAUAUUACUUGAGAAGAGAAACACUUCAAGGGGAAAUAGGUCGCAGUGAAGAGUCUCAAGCAACUGUUUACCAAAAACACAGGUCUAUGCUAAGCUGAAAGGCGACGUAUAUGGGCUGACACCUGCCCAGUGCCGGAAGGUUAAGAGGAGGAUUGAGAGAUCCGAAUUGAAGCCCCGGUGAACGGCGGCCGUAACUAUAACGGUCCUAAGGUAGCGAAAUUCCUUGUCGGGUAAG
rnacentral:rRNA from 1 species